rnacentral:tRNA from 3 species
UAGCUCAGCUGGGAGAGCAUCUGCCUUACAAGCAGAGGGUCACAGGUUCGAGCCCUGUAGGUCCCA